AACGCGAAGAACCUUACCUGCCCUUGACAUGUCAGGAAUCUUACAGAGAUGUAGGAGUGCCUUCGGGAACCUGAACACAGGUGCUGCAUGGCUGUCGUCAGCUCGUGUCGUGAGAUGUUGGGUUAAGUCCCGUAACGAGCGCAACCCUUGUCCUUAGUUACCAGCACGUUAUGGUGGGAACUCUAAGGAGACUGCCGGUGACAAACCGGAGGAAGGUGGGGAUGACGUCAAGUCCUCAUGGCCCUUAUGGGCAGGGCUACACACGUGCUACAAUGGUCGGUACAGAGAGUUGCCAACCCGCGAGGGGGAGCUAAUCUCACAAAACCGAUCUCAGUCCGGAUUGAGGUCUGCAACUCGACCCCAUGAAGCUGGAAUCGCUAGUAAUCGUGGAUCAGAACGCCACGGUGAAUACGUUCCCGGGCCUUGUACACACCGUAGUAC
rnacentral:rRNA from 1 species